GUGACUAUGGCGUAAUGGUAACGCAACAGACUGUGAAUCUGUGAACGAGGGUUCGAUCCCCUCUAGUCACCCCA
rnacentral:tRNA from 1 species